rnacentral:tRNA from 2 species
UGGGGCGUGGCCAAGUGGUAAGGCAACGGGUUUUGGUCCCGCUAUUCGGGGGUUCGAAUCCUUCCGUCCCAG